AGGAUUCCCCUAGUAACUGCGAGUGAAGCGGGAAAAGCUCAAAUUUAAAAUCUGGCGGUCUUCGGCCGUCCGAGUUGUAUCUGGAGAAGUGCUUUCCGCGCUGGACCGUGUAUAAGUCUCUUGGAACAGAGCGUCAUAGAGGGUGAGAAUCCCGUCUUUGACACGGACUACCAGUGCUUUGUGAUGCGCUCUCAAAGAGUCGAGUUGUUUGGGAAUGCAGCUCAAAAUGGGUGGUGAAUUCCAUCUAAAGCUAAAUAUUGGCGAGAGACCGAUAGCGAACAAGUACCGUGAGGGAAAGAUGAAAAGCACUUUGGAAAGAGAGUUAAACAGUACGUGAAAUUGCUGAAAGGGAAACGCUUGAAGUCAGUCGCGUCGUCCGGAACUCAGCCUUGCUUCCGCUUGGUGCACUUUCCGGAUGACGGGUCAGCAUCGAUUUUGACCGUCGGAAAAGGGCUGGAGUAAUGUGGCACCUCCGGGUGUGUUAUAGACUCUAGUCGCAUACGGCGGUUGGGAUCGAGGAACGCAGCGCGCCGCAAGGCAGGGGUUCGCCCACUUUCGCGCUUAGGAUGCUGGCAUAAUGGCUUUAAACGACCCGUCUUGAAACACGGACCAAGGAGUCUAACAUACCUGCGAGUGUUUGGGUGGAAAACCCGAGCGCGUAAUGAAAGUGAAAGUUGAGACCUCUGUCGUGGAGGGCAUCGACGCCCGGACCUGACGUUCUCUGAAGGAUCCGCGGUAGAGCAUGUAUGUUGGGACCCGAAAGAUGGUGAACUAUGCCUGAAUAGGGUGAAGCCAGAGGAAACUCUGGUGGAGGCUCGUAGCGAUUCUGACGUGCAAAUCGAUCGUCAAAUUUGGGUAUAGGGGCGAAA
rnacentral:rRNA from 1 species